UACGUAGGCAGCGAGCGUUGUUCGGAGUUACUGGGCGUAAAGCGUGCGUAGGCGGUGUCUUAAGUUUGUUGUGAAAUCUCCCGGCUUAACCGGGAGGGUGCGGCGAAUACUGAGAUGCUGGAGUGCGGGAGAGGUAAGCGGAAUUCCUGGUGUAGCGGUGAAAUGCGCAGAUAUCAGGAGGAACACCGGUGGCGAAGGCGGUUCUCUGGGCAUGUCCUGACGCUGAGGAGCGAAAGUGUGGGGAGCGAACAGG
rnacentral:rRNA from 1 species